rnacentral:rRNA from 1 species
GAGGAAUAUUGGUCAAUGGGCGGAAGCCUGAACCAGCCAAGUAGCGUGCAGGAUGACGGCCCUAUGGGUUGUAAACUGCUUUUGUGCGGGAAUAAAGUCAGGGACGCGUCCCUGUUUGCAUGUACCGCAAGAAUAAGGACCGGCUAAUUCC